CCUACGGGAGGCAGCAGUGAGGAAUAUUGGUCAAUGGGCGGAAGCCUGAACCAGCCAAGUAGCGUGCAGGAUGAUGGCCCUACGGGUUGUAAACUGCUUUUAUACGGGAAUAACGCGCCUUACGUGUAGGCCUUUGCAUGUACCGUAUGAAUAAGGACCGGCUAAUUCCGUGCCCGCAGCCGCGGGAAUACGGAAGGUCCGGGCGUUAUCCGGAUUUAUUGGGGUUAAAGGGAGCGUAGGCCGGAUGGCAAGCGUGCUGUGAAAUGUCCGGGCUCAACCCGGGCCUUGCAGCGCGAACUGGCGUGCUUGAGUCCGCGGAAAGCAGGCGGAAUUCGUCGUGUAGCGGUGAAAUGCUUAGAUAUGACGAAGAACCCCGAUUGCGAAGGCAGCUUGCUGCAGCGGAACUGACGCUGAUGCUCGAAAGCGCGGGUAUCGAACAGGAUUAGAUACCCCUGUAGUC
rnacentral:rRNA from 1 species